GGCAAUUAGAAGUCGUCAUGGCAAGA
rnacentral:piRNA from 1 species